GACGAAGGAUGCAGGCGUUAUCCGGAUUCAUUGGGUUUAAAGGGAGCGUAGGUGGCCUUAUAAGUCAGUGGUGAAAUCUCUCGGCUUAACCGAGAAAUUGCCAUUGAUACUGUAGGGCUUGAGUAUAGUUGCCGUUGGCGGAAUAUGACAUGUAGUGGUGAAAUACAUAGAGAUGUCAUAGAACACCGAUUGCGAAGGCAGCUGACGAAACUAUAACUGACACUGAGGCUCGAAAGUGCGGGGAUCAAACAGG
rnacentral:rRNA from 1 species